UACGUAGGGGGCAAGCGUUGUCCGGAAUUAUUGGGCGUAAAGCGCGUGUAGGCGGCCAGAUAAGUCCGCUGUGAAAUCUCGAGGCUCAACUUCGAGCUGUCGGUGGAAACUGUCUGGCUAGAGUCCGGAAGAGGAGAAUGGAAUUCCUGGUGUAGCAGUGAAAUGCGCAGAUAUCAGGAAGAACACCCGUGGCGAAGGCGGUUCUCUGGGACGGUACUGACGCUGAGACGCGAAAGCGUGGGGAGCGAACAGG
rnacentral:rRNA from 1 species